GACGUAGGAGGCGAGCGUUGUCCGGAUUCAUUGGGCGUAAAGAGCACGCAGGCGGUUUGGCAAGUCGGAUGUGAAAACCCGAAGCUCAACUUCGGGCCUGCAUCCGAAACUGCCCGACUAGAGGUAGGUAGGAGAGUGGAAUUCCUGGUGUAGCGGUGAAAUGCGCAGAUAUCAGGAAGAACACCAAUGGCGAAGGCGGCUCUCUGGGACGGUGCUGACGCUGAGACGCGAAAGCGUGGGGAGCGAACAGG
rnacentral:rRNA from 1 species